CGGGUGAGUAUGGGUUCAUUGCCCAGCUGAAUGAGGGCCGCCACCUGAAGAAGAGGCCCACUGAGUUCCGUGUGGAUAAAGUCCUCCAGCCCUUUGAUGGGAACAAAUUCAACUUCACUAAAGUUGGGCAAGAGGAGGUGCUCUUCCAGUUUGAACCAAGCAAUGAUGAGGAACCUGAGUUCAUCCCCAAUGCUCCCAUUGAUGUCGAAAAUUCUACAAGCGUUGUUGCCAUCAAUGUAUGCAUCCACUUCUGUUCUUCAUGUUCUUGGAGAGUAAUGAGUAUCAGGUCUUAAUAACACUGUUUCUGUUGUCAAUGAUUAACAGGUUAGUCCUAUUGAAUAUGGGCAUGUGCUUCUAAUCCCAAGGAUUUUCGAGUGCUUGCCGCAGAGGAUCGACCGCGAAAGCUUUUUGCUUGCCCUUGACAUGGCUGUGGAAGCAGGAAAUCCAUAUUUCCGGUUGGGUUACAACAGCUUGGGUGCAUUUGCUACCAUCAACCACCUUCACUUUCAGGUUUCUUUCCACCUCACCUUUGAACUGCAAUCAUUGUACUAUAAAAUUGGCUCCAUUGGUUAAUGAAAUAUGAAUUCCAUAACUUUCAUGGUAACAGGCUUAUUACUUGGCCACACCCUUUCCCAUUGAGAAGGCUCCAACUAGGAAAAUAACCACUGCAGGCAAUGGGGUGAAGAUCUUUGAGCUGUUAAAAUAUCCUGUUAGAGGUCUUGUCUUUGAGGGUGGAGACACUCUGCAAGAUUUAGCGAACACUGUGGCCGAUUCCUGCAUUUGCCUUCAGGAUAACAACAUACCUUUCAAUGUUCUCAUUGCUGAUGCUGGGAAACGUAUCUUUCUCUUUGCACAGGUAAAAUUUCAGAUCGUAGGCUACACUGGUAUGGCCAACUUUGCUGCAUUUGGGUUUCUAAUUUUAGAUUUAACUCAUCUCCUUUUCUUAUUGAAUAAACAGUGUUAUGCUGAGAAACAAGCUCUUGGGGAAGUGAAUCAGGAGCUUCUGGACACCCAAGUGAACCCAGCUGUCUGGGAGGUUAGUGGACAUAUUGUGCUGAAAAGGAAGGAGGACUAUGAGGGGGCAUCUGAGCAGAAUGCUUGGAGGCUUCUUGCUGAGGUCUCUCUCUCUGAAGAGAGGUUCCAAGAAGUGAAUGCUCUUAUCUUUGAAGCCAUUGCCUGUGGAGAUGAUGAAAAAGGAAAUCUCACCGAGGACAUGAUUGAGGAGCCAGAUGUCACACCUCCAUCUCAUGAAGAUGCAGGUGCCAUCAACAAUAGCUCCUACCCUGCUGCCAUGGUGGCUGGAAAGCAAGAAUGCCUAGUUCAGCAGUAAGAGUUGGGCUUUUGAAGAACAGAUGAAUGGUGUUUGUGUUUCUGAGUCAGGUAUCGGUGGUUUGGCAUGGAUGUUUCCGUGUGUCUGUGGUUUCUAGUAAUUGCUUAAAUAAAGCAGACUGGGUUUUGCACUGUUGUUGAAGUUGUGCCUGGUUUCUCUGCGUAUUUGCUUUAUGACCUAUUGUUUAUACGUGUCUCAUGGGUCUGUAAAAUUCUAUGCUGUACUUUCUGUGAUGAUUGAAUAAAUUUCUGUUCUUCGGUUUCUAAAUGCUUGCGACUUAUUUCUUCUAAGGGUAAAAGAACUAUGGUUCUGAUGUUGUGUCACUGAUGAGUUCUAUCAGAGAUUUUAUUCUUUGCUCUCUGAUGCUCAUUUAUUUGGAGGAUAAUGCCUUGGUUCAGUUUCUGCCAUUGUUUGAAGAUUGCCAUCUGCUAUCUCGCAACAAAUGGCAGAAGUUCAAGCUGAUGUGAGCCUGUGGAUGAUAUAUUAGAGGUAUGUUUGGUUUCUUGGAAAAUUUGGGGGAAAAUAUAAAGAAAAUUGAGGGAAGACUUCAAGUUAAUAAAUUAUUUUAAUAUAUUAUUUCAAACUUAUUUUACUUAUUUAAAAUUUUUAUAUAAAUUUUAAAUAAUAAAAAAUACAUAAAUUUAUAAGUAAUUUUAAUUUUAUUUGAUUCUCUUUACUAUAUUUUAUAUUAGGAUCACUAGAAAAUUAUUUUUUUAUUUUUUAUUUUUAAUAUUUUUUGGGAACCAAAUAUAGUCUUUUGUGGAAGAUUAGUUACUGACCAUUGAUUGAUCAGCACCCAACUUCUUUGAACUCUAAUAAUGUAUGCUAUUCGAGAUGAUGGUUCCCUUGAUCUUAAGAAAUGUAGCCCUACAAAAGAUGACCCACCAUCUGGCUUCUGGGUUUAGAGGUUCACCUCUAAGAUCCAUUUCAUGAUGACUCCAGAUCACCAAGAGAGGGCACUUUAAUUAACCUUCAAAGUUAGAUAUAUAAUGCAGAAAAUAGUUUCCUCACACCGUUACACUUGCUUUCAUCAUGCGUGUGUUAAAGCGAAAGGCCCCUCCCAAACACAAAGCAAAGAAAGCUCCCUCAUCACGUAAAUAGUAAUUACCCCCCCACACCAUGCCCACCACCCACCAUGUAAGAAAAACAUGAACACACCUUAAGCUUCUCCUGAGAUUAAGUCCUCCACAUAACCCACCCCUUUAUGCAUAUCUAUAUAUAUAAUUGCAAGCAGCUCUGCCAAUGCUGCUAAUGCAUCUUGAAACGAUGCGACUACUUGACACCCGAUUCGCCAUUUCAAUCCUACAAUUACUUCUACUACUGGUUGUGAUUGUGGGAGCGGACCCAACACCAAAAGUUGUUCAAAAAAAUGGCACUAAGAGGUCAUUGUCGUCGCCAUGGCUGAGGAGGGUGAUCAACCCAAGAGCCGCAGGGUGCUGGAACAGGCCAUGGAUAUGCAAUGAAGGGCAGUUCCCACCAAGAAUCAAGAAGCUGUGCUGUAGAAACCAGUGUGUGGAUGUCACCUCCGAUGUUUACAAUUGUGGCUUGUGUGGGAUCAGGUGUCCAUUUACUUGGCAAUGCUGCCGAGGCAUCUGCAUUAAUACUAAUAUAAAUCCAUUUCAUUGUGGCAAGUGUGAGCACAAAUGCCCCUUUGGGAGCUUCUGUGUAUAUGGAAUGUGUGGAUAUGCUCAGCCACUGCCCCCAUUUCCUUUUCCUCCUAAACCACCAAAGCCCCCGUUCCCCCCCAAGCCAUUCCCACCAAAGCCCCCGUUCCCCCCUAAGCCAUUCCCACCUAAGCCAUUCCCACCUCAUCCUCCGAAGGGUGUGCAGGCGCCUACAAUGGCUUGAAGUUAAUUUUCUGUCUCAUUUUGUGCCAUGUGAACGUCUCUGUGCGUGUGCAUGGGCAUGCAUGGAUGAUGGGUGAAGGGUUGGUGUUGAUUUUCUGUUGUUUGGCAAAAGUAUGGUGCAAGGGGAGACUCGUAUGGUUGAUAUAGUUUCAUAUUUGUAACCAUCUUCUUAUGAGUUUAUGGCAUGCAAUUUUAUUUGAUGACCGACUCUUCAUAAAUGAUAAUAUUUCCUCUGUUUUAUAUCCAGUUUUUGUUGGACAACGUAAUUUCUUUGGCUUAGAAAAUGAGUCAGUUGUCUCAAAGAAUUAAACAUGAAUGCUUCAUAUCACUGUAUAACGCAUUCAACAUCGAAUAUGCAAAUUCUUAUACUCUUGGGCACGUUCCUCUUUGGAGUUGGGAUGAGAUCCACAUUAGGAGUUCUAGCAGGCCUGAGACCAGACUCAAAAUUUUAUUCUCAGCCCAGGCCCCAUCUGAGGAGUGGGCCAAGAUGGCCUUAGCAAGGAAUUUUUUAUAAGAGUACGACAGUUUAAAAAAACAAUUCCUAAACUCCUAUUGUGGAAAUAAUAAUUUCAAAUCUAUCAUAAUUUUUGUCAACUAGGAAAGAUAAGGUCAUUUCCUUUUAAAAUUGUCUAUUUGAAAAAUUAUUUGAGUAUAAAAAAUCGUAUUUUGAAAAUAUGAUUUCUAAAAUUCAUUCUUAAAAAAAAUUACACACUAAAAUUAUCUUUUGAAGAGACGAGUUCUUCAGAAGAAAAAAAAAAAAAAACUAAAUUAUUUGGGAGAAAUAGUCUUUUCACAAUUUUCUCCCAAAAAAUAAAAUAAAAUUUAAUUAAUGAUAUAUUUUUUUAAUAAUAUAAUUAUUAUAAAUAUAUUUAUAAAAUUAAUUAAUUUUAGUUACUAAAUUUAAUAUAUAAAAAAUUAUAAUUAUUGAGAUAUUUAUCAACAAUAAUAUUUAUAAAAAUUAUAAAUUAUGUUUAAUAUUUAGAUAUUGAUUUUUGUGAUUAUUUAUUUGUUGAUGGUUCAAUGAACAAGGUUAUUGGUUUUUUGCAUUCACACUAAUAAUUGAUUUUUUUAUCAUGAUUGAAACUUUAUUAAUUGUUAGAAUAUUUGUUGGUUUUUUAGUAUUUGUAUGAACAAUAUUAUUAGUUUUCUUAUAAUCAUGAUAGUAGGUAACUUAGAUUCUUUAAUAUUAAAAACAUUUAAUAAUUAAGGAUUGACUUGGUGUUUAUAUUUAUGACAUCAUGUAUUUGAAUUUUAAGUCUUUUAUUUGAAUAUAUAGUUUUUGAAAAGAUGAUUUCUUAAUUUUUAUUUAUUCUUUUUUAUUUGAUCAAUUUUCUUGAAACCUAUAACAUUAAAAAUUGAAAAUAGAUAAAAAAAUUUAUAUAACAAAAUAUUUCCUCAAUUUUUUCUUAAUAAAAAAUAGUUAAUCAUUUCUAAUUUUAAGUGUAUUAAAUUAUUUUUAAAGAAAUGUUUUAUUAUUUUUUCAAAUUACUUUAGUUGUUUAUCAUUUAUAAUUACUAAAUAAAAUAUUUUAAUAUACAAAUGAUUAUUAUUUCUUUUUGAAUUGAUUAAUACUUAAAAAAUUAUAUCUCUUAAUGUUGAAAAUUUUAUUGAAAAUUAAUUUUUUGAAUAAUAAAUUAAUUUAUUUUUUUAUAUUUAAUUCUUUUUAUAGUUAAAUUUUAAAUUAAAGAUUAAUAUUUUUAAUUUUAAAAUUUAUAUAAUAAAAUUAAUUUAAAAAUUAAAAUAAAACAAAAUUAUUUAUUUUAUAAAUAAUUAUUUAAUAAAUUAAUAACAAAUUUGUUUUUUAUAAAUACAUUUUUCACAUAAAAUUGAUAAUAAUUGUUUUUAAUUACAAAGCAAAAGAAACAAAAAAAUAUUAGAUAAAUAUUAUUUAUCUUAUAAAUAAAAAACAAUAUCAAAAGUAAAUUAAUUUUAUUAGUUAUAAUUAAUUGAAUUAAUUUAAAGAAAAAAUUAAAAAUUAAAAAAAAAAAGUAGAUUUAAGAAUAAAUUAAUUAUUUUUAUUUAUAACUUAAAAUUAUUUUGGACUUUAAAUUAUAUUAUUAAAUACCUAAUUUAUUUAACAACUUAAAUUAAGUUAUUAAAUCAAAUUUAAUCUUGGUUAACCAACCCCCCACAGAAUCAUACCGUGAUGUGUUUCUAAACCAUACGCGGCCACACCCAUUGGCCAAAUAAACCUUAACGAUUCUCAGUUCUCACUCUAGGGUUUUCUGCUCACUCUUUUCAAACUGAAAACCAGAUGGAGUCAAAUGGAGAAGACGCUUCUCGAAUUCUCAGGGAGAUCGAGACCUUGAAGGCCGCUAAGGCCGACAUAGAGCAUCGAAUAUCGGUUCUCGAAGCUCGGCUUCGCGAUAUUCCUCUGCCUAACGACGCCAUUUCUGGUGUCUCCUGUUCUUCCAUGUCAAUAGCUGAUUCGGCUGCCGGACACGGACUCUCCCCGGAUAUGAUCUACCGGUAUAGUCGCCACCUUUUGCUUCCUUCCUUCGGAGUUCAAGGUUUGUACUUUGUACUGGACUGGUCGGAUCGAAUGCUUCAUUCAAAGUAUGAAAUUCAACUGUUUUCUUGCUUUUGAAAGCUGAAUGUAAUGCAAUUUUUCUUAUCAAAGUGUGAGAAAGGUGUUCGGAAAUGCUAACCUUUGUAUAGUUAGAAUUUUCGUAGUGCGUUUCUUGCUUUUGUGGAGAAAAAAAAAUUGCUUUACUUGCUGGUAUCAAAUGCGAGAAAAAAGAAAAGAAAAAAAAACAGUUUCUAGCUGAAAUAUGUUUCUGGAAUUUUAGAAAUACAGAGCAUUUUGAAAGGAAUUUUCUUCCUUUUAUGGGCUAGAAUCCAUUUAAUUUUGCUUUCAAAUAAUAAAAAAGUACUCUUAAAUUGUCCUACUGAAUCUUAACUGGAUUUUCCCGUUUUAAUGAAUGCCAUUCUCUUUGUUGAAAUGAGUUGUCAGAGUUAGACCUUGAGUUAGUGCUUUUGAAUGCUCCUUUUUGUGUAGCAUUUUGGAAGUACUUUUCUUGCUUUUGAAAGCUAAAAUCAAUGUAAUUUUUGCUUCCAAAAGUAGGAAAAGUACUUGCAAAGUGCUGUCAAAAUAAGGUCACUGUAAUUUCAUUCCACGCUGGGCUAUAUUAUUCUGACAAAUUCCUCAUCAAUAUGACCUUGCUUGCUUGAAAAUUUUAAUAACAAAAACAAUAACAAUUACUUUAGAUAAAUCCAAACAGAAGUCAAGUAUUGGACCACAUGAAAGGCAUUUUGUUUUAGUGGAAAUUUUGUGUCUUUCCUGCAAUAUUUUCUUUCACAAGUUCUAAUAUGUUCAAGUAGCGCAGAGUUUGGACACAUGUUGCUGUGAGAUACAACGAUACAACUGAAUUUGACCAAGAUUUCUGUUUGGUUUGUUUCCAGAACAAUACUCUUUCAUGGUAUAAACUGAGCAGUUUGGUGCUCUUAAGUCCUUUUUAAUGCCGACUACAAUAACCUUUAUGUGUUGAAAAAAAUGAGAACAAAAAAAAACAUGAAAAUCUCUUUUGCAAGACAUUUUUCUAAAAAUAAUUAAUGCAAAUAGAUUGUUGGAAACAUUCAAAAAGUAAUUUUGCACAUUUUGAAUAUCAAUGGCAUUUUAACUACUGACAAUGACUGGAAAAUGGUAAGUUUCUGGACAUGUUCACCAUUUCAUUUCUGAAAUGGGAACAUUAAUCAGAAAGCCAUCUUACAUUUGCAACAUAACAGCCCGUUUAUUUUUCAUAUUUCAGUGAAAUUCACAUUGAAUGUCAUAUAGUUUAAUGCAGAGCUUUGGUCAUUGAGCAAUCAAUAAUCUACUUUAUUCUAUAUAAUUAGUUGUCAUUUGUUUAUUCUGAUUGGUAUCUCUUUACUUUCCAAUUGGUAUUUGUGGUUGGCUGUAGGGCAGUCGAGUCUCUUGAAGUCUUCAAUUUUAGUUGUUGGAGCUGGAGGAUUGGGCGCACCAGCUCUUUUAUAUCUUGCGGCAUGUGGAGUUGGUGAGAUGUUUGCUCUUAAGAAGGCUCAAAAUACAUGUUCAUUAGAAACUUCUUGUCUGAAUUCUUUUCUGGACCAUUACCCGAGUCAAUGCUACUUAUUGGGCUAUCAGGCUUGAAAAUAUAAGUUUAUGUCACUUCAUGCAAAAAUGCUGAACUUGGAUUUUUUUACAAAUCUUACCCAAACAAAGUUCAAAACAGAGCCUAUGCUAGGUAAUGGUCCUUUUUUGGCAUACCUAGCAUUUUGAUGCCAUUGAUUCAUGUGUGUGAUAUUUUGAUGCCAUUGAUUUAUCCAUUUUAAAUGAAUGGGUGCUUUAAAGGGAGCACUUAAAUCAUUGUCUUAUAUUGCAAUUGGACCUUUUUGUUUUGAAACUCUGACCUUUCAUUUUAAAGCUCUUUCAUUUGGAUAUUCUUCCCAGGGUGCAUAGGUACUGUUGAUCAUGAUGUUGUAGAGCUGAAUAAUCUGCACCGACAGGUACAAAUUUAAAAUAUGCACUCUGGUUCUCUAGUCGUCAUGAUGAUGUUGGUGGUACUAAUAAGAAAUAUUCGGCCUAAUUUUAUUCUUGGUGCCCCAUGCUUUCUCUUGGUAUGGUUAUGAAUGAUAAGCUUGAACUACAAAAAUGUUUUUAAAUCCACUAUGAUUUGAAAAAUGCCAAUCAUGUUGGUGCACUAAAUAAGCUCUUGAGGCAUGGCUCAAGUGGUAAAAGGUUGGGAGGGUUUGUAGGAGUUUCCAGGUUCAAGUCCCAAUGAGGAAAAAAAUGUACAUACCAAAAAAAAAAAAAAAAAGUUGCACUAAAUAAUAAUGGAAAUAUGCAAUGAUGGGGCUACUACAUUAAACACAUGCGAUUUCUCCCAUGAUCUUUCUGCUUUGUUUCAUAUGGCACCACAAAAUGUUUUCAUAUUAAUAAAUUUAUACCCAUCAGCUUCUCCCCGAUCCUCGAUGUAUAAACAAAAAACAUGGAGAAAGUGAAUACAAUUGCAAAAGGCACAUAUGGAGUGCUAGAUACUCACCUGAGUGAAGGAGGUGCUAAUUCUUUAAAAGGUAUCACCAAUUAAAUGAAAAAAAUGAAAGAAACAUGUAAAUCUUUCUUUAGGGCAUCAAGGCAUCAUAAUGAUCAAAUAAUGAAGUUAUAACCACACAUUGUUUUACCUUAAUGCAAUUUGCAAAUCUGCAUUUCUCUUUGUAACUGUUAGGAAUCUCAUAGAGGUAUUGUAAUGUGCAAAUGAACUUCUUUUGAUCUAGUGAACUCAUGAUCUCAGAGCCUGCUUCCUAUUAUUAUAUUGCAGAUUAUCCACACUGAAGCAUAUGUUGGUCAACCAAAAGUACAAUCUGCUGCUGCUGCUUGUCGUUCGUAAGUAGCACUUUUGGCAUUAUCUGUCUUAACUCUGAAAAAUACCUGAUCUGAAGUUGCUGCAUCUGCUGUCUGCUUUGUGAAGUUUGCUUUUCACUGAAAGUAUCCUGGAAUUUUCUUUCAUGUUGUUAUGCUUAAUAUAGAUUUGUAUGCCAGGAUUAACUCCACAAUUCAGAUUGUGGAACACAAAGAAGCUUUAUGCACAUCCAACGCUUUGGAGAUUUUGAGCAAGUAUCCUUUAUAAAACAAAUUUCAAAGAUCAUUAAAUUUGUCUUUUUGCUUUCCUUUUCUUUUUUCUUUAUUUAAUCCUUUCUGUGAAUACUGAUGAAAUAUUUUGAUUUCCCUGACUACUGACAUUUCUUAGAUAUGAUCUAGUUAUCGAUGCAACAGAUAAUGUCCCUAGCCGGUACAUGAUAAGUGAUUGCUGCGUUGUAUUAGGGAAGGUAAAUUGGUCAUUGUGCUGCUUUCUCUUGUAGAUAAUUGUACAGAAGUCACUAUUAGUAAACUUACUAAAACUGGAUUUUAGCAUUAUGUAACAUAGAACCAACCAUUCAUAUGUCUGGAUUUGGCUAAUGCUGUUCUAGGCUUUUAUUUUCAGUACCUCUCUUAAUGCACUCCACCCUGUAUUCACAUUAACUGAUAUUCCCUUGUGACAGUAAAAUCCAAGGUACUAAGAGGGCUCUAUAUUAUGGUCAAUAAUCAAGACAGGAUUCUACAAGCACCUAUGUCUGAACAAAAAAAGAAAAAUCACUAAAACCAGCAUGAGGCUUAUUGGUUCACUAUGCAUGUGUGUCUAGUGUGCGAUUUUUCAUCCUUGCAUUGACCCUUUACAUGUUAUUUGUGCAGCCUCUUGUUUCAGGUGCUGCUUUGGGAUUGGAAGGGCAGGUAUGUUAUGCAUCUGCUUUCAUAUUCUGUUAUUCUUGUGUUACACCUAUAGAAUUUCUUAUGUGAAUAAGGGAAUGGGAAGUGUAAUCUUCAUCAUUUUUUGUUGUGGAAACUCAUAGCAUAACUGCAUCAUGAAAUUUUUUGUAUAGCUCACUGUUUACAAUUACAAAGGAGGUCCAUGCUAUCGGUGCCUUUUUCCUACUCCACCACCAACAACAGCAUGUCAAAGAUGUUCAGAUAGUGGAGUUUUAGGAGUAGGUAAGCUGCAGUUUUGCUAACAUGUCCAAUAUUAAAUUACUAGUCUGCUAACUUGCCUACCAAACCUUGUAAAAUAUGAUCUUGAGAGGGAUCUUUUCCUUUUUCUAUCUUCUAUCUUAAAUGGAGAAGAAGUCUUAGAUUUUGUCCUGGAUGCAGGUAAGAAUUGAAUUGGGCAUAAGUCUGUUUCUUGCUUUACGUAUAGACUCCAGUAAAUUUGCAUAUUUUAAUUUGUCUGCAUUGAGUAUUGAUUUCACACGAAAGAAAGGAUAUAGUGUUAGUCAUGAACCUCGACAAAACUCCACUCAAUAAACUGGUGUCCUAAUUGUGUGCAUGGAAUUGGUAUCAUAGAAACAUAAAGGAUACAAAUGUUGGUCAUGAACCUUGACCAGGCUCUAUAAAUGUUGGUCAUGAGCCUUGACUAGGUUCUACUCAAAAGGAAAACUUUAUCCUGA
rnacentral:lncRNA from 1 species